CAUAGCGACUAUCGUGGCAUAUCAAUAAGCGGAGGAAAAGAAACUAACAAGGAUUCCCUUAGUAACGGCGAGUGAAGCGGGAAGAGCUCAAAUUUGAAAUCUUCAAGGUUCUACCUUGACGAAUUGUAGUUUAUAGAAGUGUUUUCUGUUAGUAGGAGUGGCAAAAGUUCUUUGGGAAUAGGACAUCAUAGAGGGUGAGAAUCCCGUAUUUGGUCAUUCUUCCUAGCUUUGUGAUACACUUUCAACGAGUCGGAUUGUUUGGGAAUGCAGUCCAAAAUGGGUGGUAAAUUUCAUCUAAAGCUAAAUAUUGGCGAGAGACCGAUAGCGAACAAGUACCGUGAGGGAAAGAUGAAAAGAACUUUGAAAAGAGAGUUAAACAGUACGUGAAAUUGUCAAAAGGGAAGCGUUUGACACCAGUGUUGUUUUCUCGAAAAUCAAUUAAAAAUGGUGGGAUGUCUGUGUUGUAUUGACUUUAUCAGCUUUCUGCACUCUUUUUCCUAUCUUUUUUAAUGCACUUUUCGUUUAACAAGUCAACAUCAAUUUCUUUUGUUGUAAAAGAGUCAUUGGAAGGUGGCUUUCUUUUCGGAGAAAGUGUUUAUAGCCUUUGACUUCUGCAAUCGGAGAGAUUGAGGUCUGCAGCGUAGAUCCUUCGGGGUUAGAUACAUUUGUGCUAAGUUAUAGCCUUUCAUAGACAACUUGUUGACUAUGAUCAGUCAUGUAGCUUACUCGCUUAUGUCUAUUUUACCUACGCUUAGGAUGUUGAAGAUAUGCGCGACACG
rnacentral:rRNA from 1 species